GCGCUCGUAGCUCAGUUGGAUAGAGCGUCUGACUACGAAUCAGAAGGCCGCAGGUUCGAGUCCUGCCGAGCGCG
rnacentral:tRNA from 1 species